UGGGGAAUCUUGCGCAAUGCGCGAAAGCGUGACGCAGCAACGCCGCGUGGGGGAAGAAGGCCUUCGGGUUGUAAACCCCUUUCAGUUGGGACGAAGGUCGGGCCGUUAAUAGCGGUUCCGGCUGACGGUACCUUCACAAGAAGCUCCGGCUAACUACGUGCCAGCAGCCGCGGUAAUACGUAGGGAGCAAGCGUUGUCCGGAAUCAUUGGGCGUAAAGAGCGUGUAGGCGGCCCGAUAAGUCGGUUGUGAAAGUCAAGGGCUCAACCCUUGAAAGCCGGCCGAUACUGUCGGGCUAGAAUCCGGAAGAGGCGAGUGGAAUUCCUGGUGUAGCGGUGAAAUGCGCAGAUAUCAGGAGGAACACCAAUGGCGAAGGCAGCUCGCUGGGACGGUAUUGACGCUGAGACGCGAAAGCGUGGGGAGCAAACAG
rnacentral:rRNA from 1 species